rnacentral:lncRNA from 9 species
UAUUUUAUUUUAUUUUAUUUUAUUAUUAAUCACCCUUCCAAAUUUUUCUACUCUCCCAGGCAGAACAAUUCAACCUUUCCAGGCCCAAUCCCAAAUCCUGCCCAACUUUGCACAGUCCAGCCUGGGAAGGCGCAGACACAGAAAGGACCCGUCUUUGAACAGAACUGGCCUUCCUUCCAGGGCAGCCAGCUGACAUUGACCAUGGGCUCCCUCACAGAGGGGGAGCAACACAGCCCUUGGCUGCAGCUGAUUGUGCCCGUGUGGACCUUGGACCCCAGCUGAGCCAGGCCUGGUCCCUUCUCUGGAAUUGGGCAUUUGACAGAGGAAGAGGCCUUCUCUCCAAAGGGCUGGAAUAUGUGAACUAGAACGUUGUGAGCUGCCCCCACCCCAGUACCCUGUGGGAAUGGUCCGACUUCCGGCGGAAGUAGCUGUAAAGUGGAGGCACCUGGGAACCCUUUGGCGGCCUAAAAGGGAUCUGUGAGCCUUGUCGGGAGCUCCCUGAGUGCCCAGAGCUGCAGCAGCAGGGAAGCAGGUAAGGAGGAUUCUCGAUGAAGCAGCCCUAGUCGGAGGGGGCGGAGGGGGGCUGGGUGUUCAGCAACUUCCCUGGAGAGGGUUUGGGAAUCAG